rnacentral:rRNA from 1 species
GAGUCUAGCAUGUGCGCGAGUCAUUGGGAUUAUCUAAACCUAAAGGCGCAAUGAAAGUGAAGGCCCGCCUCGCGCGGGCCGAGGGAGGAUGGGCGGCGCCACGACGCCGCCCCGCACUCCCGGGGCGUCUCGUUCUCAUCGCGAGAAGAGGCGCACCCAGAGCGUACACGCUGGGACCCGAAAGAUGGUGAACUAUGCCUGGUCAGGACGAAGUCAGGGGAAACCCUGAUGGAGGUCCGUAGCGAUUCUGACGUGCAAAUCGAUCGUCGGAACUGGGUAUAGGGGCGAAAGACUAAUCGAACCAUCUAGUAGCUGGUUCCCUCCGAAGUUUCCCUCAGGAUAGCUGGCGCUCGCUUUGCGAGUCUCAUCCGGUAAAGCGAAUGAUUAGAGGCAUUGGGGUCGAAACGGCCUCAACCUAUUCUCAAACUUUAAAUGGGUGAGAUCUCCGGCUUGCUCGAACUUGAAGCCGCGAGAUUUUCAUAAAGGAUCAGAGUGCCAAGUGGGCCACUUUUGGUAAGCAGAACUGGCGCUGUGGGAUGAACCAAACGCAGAGUUAAAGCGCCCAAAUCGACGCUUAUGGGAUACCAUGAAAGGCGUUGGUAACUUAAGACAGCAGGACGGUGGCCAUGGAAGUCGGA